UUAUCCAAUGAUAAAUUUUAAUGAUUACAAAUAAAUUUUAGAUUUAAUUUGUCACUUAGCAAUUUCAGAUUUUAGUUGAAUUUAAAGUGACUCAAGUCGAACUGGAGUUAAUUAAAGGUAACCAACAAUUCAAUCAAAUUGUUCAAAUUAGUUCGGACUUUUUUAUAAUUUUAUCGGAUUUGAGUCGAUCAACCUAGUCUAAGUUGACCAAUUUAUCUUUUAGGUUAGAUUUGAGUUUAACGUCAAAUUAGCUAUUAUUUUUAAUUUGGUAUGAAAGAGAUUUGAUAUAUGAUAUAAAUUCAAAAAUAAUUUUAUUAUGACAUAAAUUUAAAAAAUAUGAAAUAUGAUAUAAAUGAGUUUUAAAAGUAUGGUAUUAAUUUAAAAGCUUUUUACAAAUGUGGAAUGAAUUAAAAUUUUUUUUACAUUUGUAGUAUUAAUUUAAAAGGAUUUUAUGAUUUUGGUAUAAUUUCAAAUGAGCUUUUCGAAUGUAGUAAUAUUUCAAAUGUGUUUUGCAAGUGUGAUAUGAAUUCAAAUUUAUUUUGAAAUUAAUUCAAAUGCAUUUGCAAAUAUAAUUAAAAUUUAAAUUAUAAUCAAUUAUAAUUUAAUUAAAAUUUAUUUUUGAAAUGAUGGGUAGUGUAUUUAAAGGAGGGCUCAGAUAUUGUUUCAUAUACAGCUUUUGAAAAAUUUCUAAGUUUUAAUUGUUCUUUUAACUUGUAAUUGUGAGAUUUAUUGAGAAGGUGUAAUAGAUAAGCGGCUUUGGUCUUUCCUUGUUCGAAAGGUCAAGUGAUAGUGAUUAAAUUGGUACCUCAAGGGGAAGAAGGACCGGAUUGAAGUAGGUAGAAGGUUGAAUCAGAAUAAAUCAUCUGUGUUAUUUCUGUUUGAUUUUCUUUUUUUAUUUGGUUGCGCAAUUUUUAUCUUGGUUUAAUUUUAUUUGAAUU
rnacentral:lncRNA from 1 species